rnacentral:lncRNA from 1 species
CCUUCUUCGCCUGCAAUAUCUUUGCUACGUGAGUUAGUGUUAGUUUUUAUUUUUUCGUCUCGUUAGCCUUUAUUUUUGCAGCAUGAUGCUAGUGCGCAGUGGGCCGUGCUCUCCGAUUUUGUGUUCGGGUGGUAUUUAAUUCCGUCUUCUUUCUUGGGAGAUGUCCUUCACGCAGUCGGUAUUGCCUUAUUAUGGUCGCUAUUGACAAUGCUGCUCUUUCGCCACUACUUAGUCGAUCUGAUGGAUUUCCAAUGAACGGUUAGCAUUGAAGAGGACGCCUUGACACACUUUUAGUAAUUCUGUGUCUCUCAAACUUACCUACGCGCCUUACUCUUCUUUACACCAUCCUCUUCAAACUUUCUCCUAUAGCACUUGUGAGGAAGCGCCCACCAUAUCUACCAAAGAAAACUUGAUAUUCAACAUAACUCAACCUUCCGAUCGCACAGCUCUUUAAUCCACGAGCUAGCUGGGCGAAAUGAUCGACAAACCAGAAAGAGGAUCAAGCGCAUGCAUGAUUGCACAAAGUCACAAGGAAACAUCAAAGUGUCAAAUGAGAGGAACACCCACCCGGAGAAAAGAAUAUGGUAUGUUAAGUAAUAAGAGAAUGGGGCAGAGCAAAACAAUGAGCUAUGUAAGAGGAACAAGUCCUUUUGGUGUCCACCGCAGCCAUGUGAGUGAGAUUUCAUUAAUUGAAGUGUUGGACCCAUUCCUCCAUCCCCUCCCUACCUUUCUUCGACCUUCUUUGUAACUUCCUCUCAUGAUGCAACUAAGCAUUGUUGAACCAGAUCAUUCAAUAUACCACUUCGAUCCAAUGUUCUUCUGUUCUACCCUCACUCGGAUCUAUCAAAUUACUUCUUGGAAUCACUCCAAACCGACCUCUAUACACUAUACAUUUUCACUUCUUCUAUUCGCUGACAUUAUCAUAUACUAAAUUAUAUUUUAUAUAAAUAGCACAUUAAUCUAUAGAUUGUUACAAACACAACACAAGUUAAUAUCAUAUUUAAACAAGAUUUAAGGAUGGACUAGUCCAAGACAAAUAUAAUGACUAGUCAAUCACCAUCGUGCAUACAAAAAUAACCCUAAAUAAUUGUUUGAAUGAGGUAUUUUAGUUCAAAUGUAUCGUUCUGAAUUAUUUGAGUAAAGAAAAAGUCUUAAAAAUUAUGAUAUUUAAAAUAACUCACGUUUGAAUUAUAUUUUAGUGAGAGAAGAUGUUUGAAAUACUGCAAUUAUUUACUAAUUUGAUAUUUAUAUUUACCAAAUACUAUAUUAAAUUAAUUUAUUAGUCAAAUAAUUCAUGCUCCUCAUAAACAUUACAUUCUCAAAUACAACAUCAUUUCAUUUCAAAAUAUCAUUUAUAUAAAAUAACUCAUUUUGAAUCCAAAAUGACCGA